rnacentral:lncRNA from 1 species
AGAAAUUCAAUGAGAUAAAAGUUUAAAUCAAAUCCAACGAAAAGAAACACAGUCCCGACCUCGGGUGUCACUAGAUCAUAAGCCAAACACUAAUACAACUGUUCGAAAUAACAUGACCAACACAGUCUGAGAAUAUCCAAAACAUAUAAACUAAAGGAAGAUAAGAAAAAGAGAAGGCGGAACUGCAGUCGCCAAGCAGCUAACUCGCAAUCCCCAAGUGAAAGUCCGCACAAUAAGAUCAGUAGGCGCUACCGUGCCCCGAGUUACCUGGAUCUGCACACAGGGGUGCAGGGGGUAAUGUGAGUACACCAACUCAGUAAGUAACAAGUCCAACCUAUGGACUAACAAGUAGUGAAGGACCAAACCUCAACAGGUAAUAACAUAUAUCUGAACAGGAAAAGUAGGCAUGCUUACAGUUUAAGUAAAGUUCAACAGUAUUUAAAUGCAACUGACAGUACGAAGUUCAAAGCUCAGAGAUUUUACAUAUACAAAUGCACAACUAGCAUGAUCAAUGACCCAUGAACCUCCACUUACAAGUAUUCAACCCCUCAGUAAUGUAUAUGGUCAUCCGGCCCAGGGAAGAUCCAUUCCGGAAUAUACAUCACUGACUGCAGUCAUCCAAUACCGAGGACACACGCCAGUCCAGCCUCACGGAGAAGAUCCAUCUCCCGGUAUAAUACUUUGGACAAGAUCCAUGUCCAGGGAAGAUCCAUCCCUAAAUAUCAUCAUCUACUGCGCUCACUGGGGUGUAAAGACUCCGGAGGGGCUUCUCUCAUUAGCCCAAGCGCUAUAACAAAGCCAACGAAGGCUUGUUCAAUAUCUCGUUGUGGUGUGCAUCCCAAUCUCAUACUGUCAGUCAAUAUCAGGCUCUCGGCCUCACUCAAUCAUAACUCACCAGUCUCACACACGGGCUCCAAUGUCAUGAUACUAGCCGGAUCAACAAUAAAAUGUGGCAAAUAGUAAUAAUCGAGACUGAGACAUGAUAUAAUAUGCAUAGAAGGGACUGAGUACGAAAUAUCAGUAAAAUAAAUGAUAUAACAGCAAGAAACGACCUCUAGGGUCUAAAUGAUAUCGGCGUGAAGCCUUAACAUGAUAAUCAGCAUGAUUUACAGCUCAACAACUAAAUCACACAAUUACAACAUAGAUAUCGGUAAAAAAGAAUCACUAAGCAGUGUUCUGGAAUUAUCCAGGUCGCGUUUCUUAUGGUGCACUCCCAUACGCCCAUCAUUUGGCAUAGUGUCACCUUUAUAACAAUCAUAGAACACAUACUUCGGCGUUUUGAACCCGCAAAACUAAGGUUGGAAGCGUUACUUACCUCAAGUCAAGUCAAACUCUAGUCCGCGACGCCUUUUCCUCUCGAUUCGGCCUCCAAAUGCCCCGAAUCUAACCAAAAUCAGUACAUAACCAUCAAAAUAUGCUAAGGGGACAAAGCCCACUCGAAAAUAAUCAAAUUACAUCAAAAUCCCGAAAUUGGUCAAAACCCGACCCCCGGGACCACGUCUCGGAUUUUGAUAAAAAUCACAAAACUAGAAUCCUUACACUCUCACGAGUUCAUACAUAUCAAGAAUACCAAAAUCCGACCACAAAUGACCCCUCAAAUCCCUAGAUUUAGGUCUCCAAUUUUCAAGCCUUAACUCCCCAAUUUUAGGCUUCAAAUCCCCCAAAUUUCAUUUUUAAUUAGGUAUAAAUCACAUUAGGAACGAGUAUUAAGUCCAUAAUUCUUACCUCCAAGAAGUUCUCUUUGAUUCCCUCUUCAAUCUCCCUCAAGAAGCUCCAAAACCGAGUCAAAAAUGGUGAACUUAGGCCAAAUAUCGCGAAAAUGACCUUUUAAACAUUCUACCUAGUGAUUUUAAAUCCUUCUCCGCAAACGCGGUCAAAGCCUCACGUUCGCGAAGCACAAGAAUACCGUUGACCAAAAAUCCUCUUACGCGAACACGAUGACUCCUCGCGAACGCGAUGCCUCAGCAAAUCAAACCUUCGCGAACGCAACAUCACCAUCGCGAAUGCAUUGAACACAGACCCAGCCCUUUGCAAACGUAGGACCCUCAUCGUGAAUGCGAAGGCCAACACUCCUACCUCACAUCCUAACCCUUUGCAAACGUGAGGGUCCACUCGCGAACGCGAAGCACAACUAUCUGCAACACUAAUAGCAGUUUUCUACAACUUUUUCCAACAUGAUAUGAUCCAUUCAACCACCCGAAACUCUCCCGAGGCCCUCGAGACCUCAACCAAACAUGCCAACAUAUCCAAUAACCUCAUUCAAACUUGUUCCAACCUUCGGAACACUCAAAAAAUCAUCAAAACACCAAAUUUACAUCGAAUUCAAGACUAAGAAUUCCAAAAGCAUCCAAAUUUCGCUUUCGAUCAAAAAGUCUAUCAAACCUCGUCCGAAUGACCUGAAAUUUUGCACACACAUCACAAAUGACACAACGGACCUACUUCAACUUCCGUAAUUCCAUUCCAACCCCUAUAUCAAAAUCUCACCUAUCAACCGAGAAACGCCAAAAUUUCAAUUUCGCCAAUUCAAGCCUAAAUCUACUCUGGACCUCCAAAACACAUUCUGAUCACGCUCCUAAGUCCCAAAUCACCUCCCGAAACUAUCUGAACCAUCAGAAUUUACAUCCGAUCCCUUUUUCAUAUAAGUCAACAUCCGGUUAACUUUUCCAACUUAAGCUUACUCAAAAGAGACUAGGUGUCUCAAACCUUACCAGAACCUCUCCGAAGCCACACCAACCAAUCCGAUAACGCAUAAUGCGUCUGGACAAGACAAUAAGAAAUAGAAAUGGGUGAAACAGAGCGGUAACUCAUGAAACAACCGAUCGGGUCGUUACACACAGAUUAGCCUGUAUCAUAUGAUUUCUAGAUAAAAUAAUUUGUGAUAUCGUGUGGCAUGUGCUCAAUUGUGAAAUAAUCCUUUUUCAUUUUCUAAAUUAGUUUCAAUGAAAUACAAGUUUGCUUUAAAAUGAUAUGAUCCAUCUACUUGCAAGAUACAGAUGCCUUUUCAACUCAACUAAAUGAAACAAACAGGAAGUUUGCUUAGACAACCCAUUCAACAAUGACAAAAGUAGACAGUAGUCAUAAUUGGUUCCUGAAGUUUAGAACUAACCAAACUACUAUAUCAUGCAUCCACCAACUAGUUUGGAAAGGGAACUAACAAGAAAAUUAUAAGUCUAAUUUGAAUAGGAUAUGGUAUUUGAGUCAUAAUGCAUACACAUAAUGAAAGUCAACAACAAAAGAUUAAAACGGAAGAAACAGAGACUGUUGCUUAUUUACUUGUCUUAUUAUAUGGCUCUUCUGCAACAACAGAUAUAAUAAAUCAUGGAAUAAAGAAACAGAUCUUACAUUUAUCCUAAACUAACAAUUGAUGAGUACAACUUAUGCAUCAAAUACAGUAAUACUUUAUGCCAAGAUACUACACUUGCAGAGUUGAAAUUGUGACAUUUAUGUCACGACGUAGAUAGAGCUACAUCAAAAAGAAAAAAUUGAAAUUCAAAAUCAGCCUUUCAAAGUUCUAUCAAAAUGCUAUAAUUAGUAAGUACCAAGAGAUAAUUGAUCCAAUUUCAUAGGGUAAAAAGUAUAGGAAAAAUGAGAAAACUCACGUGUCAACUAUCUCACUAUAGAACUGGAUCGAAGUAGACGGUGCUGGGAUUGACGGAAGAGGGCAACGGUUUGAGCGAACUGGAAAAAAUUCGAUUUGAGCGUUCAGAUGAACAAAUUAAACAGAAAAAGGGAAAAAAACUUACAGUAUGAGAAGAAAGAGAGAGAGCUGAGUGAUUAGUAACAAGAUUCCAACAGAAAGAGCCGGAAAGCAAAAGAAAAAUUAGAAAAAAUCAUUAACAUGUUAUUUAAUCAACCAUAAAUUACAUAAAAUUUCAGUGACUACUAAUGACCAAUAACAACAGCAAAUGAGCUUUACAAGAAUAUGAUUUUUUUUUUUAAAAAAAAAGAGAAAGAAAGAGGAACAUAAAUAAAAGAUGUAAAAGUCUUGAUCAGACUUCAGACCAAAUCGUUAUAAGCGUUAUCUAUUCUUUCAAACAACAGAUUGUCCAUAUACUUUAAAUCAAAUGUAUUAAUUUUACUUCAUAUUCAUUUAUUAUUUACGCUUUCAUGGUUCCGAAACAGGUUUCUGAAUUAAACAAAUUAAAUGGAUAUACAUGAUUUCAUAUAGAAGGCAAAGCUAAGGUUGAUUUAAUUUACCAACUUCAAAAAAGGCUCUAACAUCCUUCUGGAUUAUUUAAUUCUCUCUAUUCAUAGUUCCAUAUUAUACGUUGUGAAAUAAAAAAUUAUUCAAUACUCUUGAAAAUCCCCUCAGUAUAUAUAUAGUUUUGUUAAUAUACACAUCAAAUUCACAUCUAAAAUGACGCUCAGUUGCAACUUUAUUCAAGCUGUUAAGUGACAAACAAAUUAAAUAUUUGACUGCAAACUUAAUAAAUCCGCCACACAUAAUCCAAUAGAUGAAAUCCAAUCAAAUUAAAGUGAGGACUAACCGAACCAAACUGAAGAUAGCCCAGAUGCUCCUUUCCCUGUUCUAAGUUGAAUUAUGAGUAGCAAGAGAAGGGGAAAUUAGUAGGGUAAAAUGGUAAAGCAGCAGAACCGAUCUAGUUGAGGAUAUAUAGCAAUGUCUAUUCUGGAAAUCCCCAUAGACAUAGUGGGAUAUAUAUAUUUGGGGAGAGAGGGGUUAUCGGUGUCGAGCAGAGAGAGGGGGGUUAUUGGUGAGCAGAGAGAGAGAAAAUUAGGGAAAUAGGGUUUGGAUGUGGAAU